UUUUGACCUGCCCUAAUACCCUCACCAUCUGCGACGGGGACAGUGUCCGCCGUGUGCUGGGUUUUUGUGGCUUAGUUCCCGUUGAUGCGAGACGCAGCUCUCUGUUCGCUCGCUGCUGUUGGACAGUUCUCUCGCUCCAGCUGCCAAGCUUCCUCCCUCCAGCGUUAUGACAGAGAGCUUCCGCGCCCAUCUGAACAUUUCGGAUAUGAACACCCCCAAGGACGCACCAAGGCCAGCGCCUAGGAUGACGAACGGCAGCAAUGACUCCUUCAUCUCGAGCGGUUGCCAGACGUCUUCUGAGGUAGUGCUGUUUGGCGCUGGUAGAAGACGGUACCAGUAGCGAGCACUGAAUUGGGCAAUUACGCCUGCCUCCAUCAUCCUGAUUGCCCUGUAACGUGAACAUCAGACGAAAAAACAAAAA